CUUAUCUGGAGCCUUUCAAAGUCCCUGUAGGGGUGGACAAAGAGACUUCAUGAGACCCUGCAGGACCUGAAUGGAAGGCCCAGAGAUGGCAGACCCAGUGCCCUGAAGAUGCUGCAGACCACAUUACAGGCACCAGUAAUUGGAGUAAAACCAAACAGGAGAAAGGAUGGAAAGCAAACAGAAGAGCCUUCCCUGGUCACAGUCCCCAAGCUCCAGCAGGAGCUUUCCAUCCUGCCACUGGGAUGCAAAGCAGAAAGCUGCUCUGAGGACAGUGCUUCGUAAGUGUGUUGCAGAGAAGAGGCAGGCUACUUUUAGUAGAGCAGGCCCUGCCUGUUACCUGCAGCCCUGACCCAGCCCCAGGCUGACAUGCUCUGUUCCCUGGGCAAGGACAGGGACCGGGGCCUUCCACGUGUUCCUCCCCAGCUCUGAGGUCUUGGAAGGGAUAAAUCUCAACAUUGAUCUGACUUCUGUGAAGCCCAACAGUGCUGUUGUCCCAGAUGAGAUACCAGGAAGGUUUUGGUAUGCACAGUAACGUGGAUCGCCCUGACAGCAGUAACCAAAUGUCUCUGUGAAAUAACUCGCAAGCACUGGCUCCAUCUGGU